CGACAGGCACAGCGCCGGCCAAUCAGCGAGCGCGUACGGAAACACGUGCCCUGAGCCCGCCCCAUCACCUGCACAAACGUGGUGGGCGUGUUUGUCAAAAAUGACAGGUCAACGCAAGGUCCCCAUGUAGGAAUGCAAAAAAGACCACUCAGCCAAUCGCUAGCUGCAGCAGUAAACCCCCUCAUCCAGGGACUGGGACCUAGUGAUCACUAGGUGGGGGAUCAGGCAUGUAAGUACCAGCGAGACUCAGCUGACAACUAAGAUGAAAGAUAAUGAAAUAGGAAAGAUCUAUCUUACAUUGGUCCUGGGUCCAUGAUUUUCCUUUGGCUUUGGUGGCUGCAAAUAAAGAUAAAUUGGAGUGCUUCCACCUGAAAUGCAGUUGUACACGGAUGAUGCAGGGAGUAAAGUAGAGGAAAAGGAUGAAGAGUAAUUUAUAACCUCAAAUGAGUGACAUACCUCUUCUAGGAUAAAAGGCUUAACAGGCUCUGGUGGG